GUGCACUUAUUUAUUUAAUGAAUCCUACGUAUUAAUUUUUAGAAAAAACAUUGAAACACCCACCUAUCUCUCCCUUCCAUCAAAUUCAGAGGACCAAGCACCUCAUCUGUUUCCGUGUGAGCCGUGGAGACUGGAUCAAGCCUUGUACUUGGAAGAUCCUGGGGGUGGUGGUCGGGAUGGGACCAUCUAGAACUGUUCAGAUGUAGCCACUAGGGCUAUGAAUUCCCCUGGACAAGGGGAAUUGCAGACAAGGACCAGACAGAGAUCUCUGCGGGUGUAGCUUGGGUGGUGGAGAAGCGUCUUCCCUACCUGAGGGGCCCUCUGCAGGCUUCUCUGAGUGACCUCAGUGGGCAGAGCUUGGCUCACUAGGUAGACUUUGUGGCACGCCCAAUUUCUGCCCGAUGUAAGGACCAACUUUGUCCUGGAGGCCUGCCCUGCGUGGCAGGAGCGGGACUGUCAGAGGCUGACCGGAGACUUGUCUGGGAUGUGCAGGUGACUGAGCGCUGGUCACACAAGCUCCUGAGCUUUGUCCUGAGAUUUAUCUUCAGCCCAAAGCAGAGCAGCUGUGGAUCCCUUGCUACCACCCAGAUCUCUUCUCCCUCAUUAUUAUUCCAAACGGGCAAGAGACUCCUUGAGGCUGAGCUGCAGAAAGGCACAGUUUCAAGGUCAGAAGAGCUCAGCAAGGCCUGGCUCUGGGCGUCAUCAUGUUCGAGGCAUGACGGUGACAAGGGGGAGCCUGGACUCCGAGCCAUUUGCCCUUGUCGGCCACUGCCCUGGGACGAACUGGCUGGGAGGCUUCCGGAAGGAAGAACUUAGGCAAACCGGAAAAGGCUCUGGUAGCAGCACAGCUGAGGGUGGCCCAGGGCCAGCAGCACCCAGUUCACACCGUGUGGAGUUGUGUCUGGAGGGGAAUGCUGUGGACCAGUGAGGUCGGAGUUAAAAU
rnacentral:lncRNA from 1 species